rnacentral:rRNA from 1 species
GACGAACGCUGGCGGCGUGCCUAAUACAUGCAAGUUGAGCGAUGAAGAUUGGUGCUUGCACCAAUUUGAAGAGCAGCGAACGGGUGAGUAACCCGUGGGGAAUCUGCCUUUGAGCGGGGGACAACAUUUGGAAACGAAUGCUAAUACCGCAUAACAACUUUAAACAUAAGUUUUAAGUUUGAAAGAUGCAAUUGCAUCACUCAAAGAUGAUCCCGCGUUGUAUUAGCUAGUUGGUGAGGUAAAGGCUCACCAAGGCGAUGAUACAUAGCCGACCUGAGAGGGUGAUCGGCCACAUUGGGACUGAGACACGGCCCAAACUCCUACGGGAGGCAGCAGUAGGGAAUCUUCGGCAAUGGACGAAAGUCUGACCGAGCAACGCCGCGUGAGUGAAGAAGGUUUUCGGAUCGGAAAACUCUGUUGGUAGAGAAGAACGUUGGUGAGAGUGGAAAGCUCAUCAAGUGACGGUAACUACCCAGAAAGGGACGGCUAACUACGUG